AUGGCGGCCUCGGAGACGGUGGCAGGGCGCCCGGCUUUGGCUGCGGGUACCAGGGCCAUCCUGGCGUCCACAAGAGGAGCCACCACCGUCACCUGGGGCCCGUGGGUGCCCCCGGGACCCCGACUGAGGGGCAGCUGGCCGCAACCUCCGGGGGCGACGCAGCAGCCUGCAGUCCCCGCGGUACGGGCCGGGGUGCUGAUCAGCAGUGGGAGAGCAAGCUGCGCAGGCGUGGGGACCAGCAUCCUGUGCGCGGUGCGCCGACCAGGGAGCGGCAAGAUCCUGCCCAGCAGCCCCGCGCUCAACAUGCACGUGGCCAAGAUCCACCACCUGCGGGAUGGCAUAGUCAAUCCGAUAAUAGGAAAAGAUUUGAAAACUGUACCGAAAUUCUACUGCUGUCCAAUUGAGGCUGCCCCAGAGGCCCUGAUAGACCAUCUUCUCAAUUGUCUCUCGUAAACAGCACUUCAUAAAAAUGCAUGCUGAGAAGAAGCACAAAUGUAGUAAGUGCAGCGAUUCGUAUUGUAUAGAAUGGGACUUAAAAAGACACGCAGAGGACUGUGGCAAGAUCUGGUGCACACGUGGCUGUCCCUACACCAGUAGAAAGGCACUGCAGUCUCAUAUCCACGGAACUAGCCACGAGAUCCCUGCAGAACACAGGGAUCCACCUAGUAAAAAAAAAAGGAAAAUGGAAAAUUUGCAAAACCGGAAGGUAUCCAAUAAGACCAUUGAAUCAUUGAACAACCAGCCAGUCCCUAGACCAGACACUCAAGAACUAGAAGCUUCAGAAAUAAAGCUAGAACCAUCUUCUGAAGACUCCUGUGGCUCUAACACUGAAAAGCAGACUCUUAUAACACUGCCAAGAUAUCCUCAGAAGUUGCUUUUACCAAAGCCCGAAGUGGCUUUGGUUAAACUACCAGUGAUGCAGUUUUCUCUCUUGCCUGUCUUUGUGCCUACAGCCGACUCCUCAGCCCAGCCCGUGGUGGUUAGGUGUCAAUCAGGGCUCUGCCACAGGGGCUGUGCACUUUCUGCCCUUGUCGGUAGGAACCCUGAUCUUUGGCCUAGAUUCAGAGGCUUGCUCUCUGAAGGAGAGCCUACCUCUUUUUAAAACUGUUAAUCCUGUUGCUGUUAAGCCCAUAACAAGUGAACUUGUGUAAAAGUCCAUCUGCUCCUUUACAAGAACAAGGGAACACAUGUCAAAAGAACAACAUUUCCUCCAUCAGUGUGCAGACAGAUCUGUCUUAUGCCUCACAAAACAACUUUAUACCUUCUGCACAGUGGGCCAGCACUGAUUCCUCUGUGUCAUCUUGUUCUCAAACUGAUUUGUUGUUUGAUUCCCAAGUUUCUCUUCCCAUUAGUGUUCACACUCAGACAUUUUUGCCCAGCUCUAAGGUAACUUCAUCUAUAGCCAUUCAGACUGAUGCAUUUAUUGACACCUGUUUCCAGUCAGGUGGGGUCUCCAGAGAAACUCAAACCAGUGGGAUACAAAGUCCAAUGGAUGACCACGUACAGAUGGACCAAGCUGCAAUGUGUGGAGACGUUUUUCAGAGUGUUUAUUCAUAAUGUUGCUACAGGUAACAUUAUAAGUAACAGUUUAGUAGCAGAGACAGUAACUCAUAGUUUGUUACCUCAGAAUGACCCUAAGACUUUAAAUCAAGAUAUUGAGAAAUCUGCACCAAUUAUAAACUUCAGUGCACAGAAUAGUAUGCUUCCUUCACAGAACAUAACAGAUAAUCAGACCCAAACCAUGGAUUUAUUAAGUGAUUUGGAAAACAUCUUGUCAAGUAAUCUGCCUGCUCAGAUGUUGGAUCAUCAUAGUCUUUUGUCUGACACAAAUCCUGGACCUGACACCCAGCUUUCAUCUGGCCCAGCCCAGAAUCCCGAAAUUGAUUUUGAUAUCAGAGUAUUCUUUUCAGCCUCAAAUAUCCAGACUCAAACUGAAGAGAGUGAACUUAGCACCACGAACACUGAGCCAAUCUUGGAGUCACUGGACAUAGAGACUCAAACAGACUUCCUACUUGCAGAUACCUCUGCUCAGUCCUAUGGGUGUAGGGGAAAUUCUAACUUCUUAGGCUUUGAGAUGUCUAACACACAGACACAGACAGACUUAAACUUUUUCUUAGACAAUAGCCCUCAUCUGCCUCUGGGAAGUAUUCUGAAACACUCCAGCUUUUCCGUGAGUACUAAUUCAUCUGACACAGAGACCCAAACUGAAGGAAUCUCCACUGCUAAAAAUAUACCUGCUCUAGAAAGCAAAGUUCAGUUGAACAGUACAGAAACACAGACCAUGAGUUCUGCGUUUGAAACCCUGGGGAGCUUGUUCUUCACCAGCAAUGAAACUCAAACAGCAAUGGACAACUUUCUUCUGGCUGAUCUGGCCUGGAACACAAUGGAGUCUCAGUUCAGCUCUGUAGAAACCCAGACCUCUGCUGAACCACACACAGCCUCCAACUUCUAAAACCAAAAGUGGAGUCCAUGUGUGAGAUAGCAUCUACCAUUUCCUCUGGAUUAAACUACAGAAUGGGGAAAACAGUAUUCUAUUGAAUGUAGUUGAUGAUGCAGUUGCUUAGCUUCUUUGAGGUUUUUUGCCUUUUGUACUUGUAAACAUGAAAUUUGUGUAUAAAUGCGAGUCUAUUAUAAAAGUGUGAAAUGUUGGUCUAA